rnacentral:rRNA from 1 species
UACGGAGGGGGCAAGCGUUGUCCGGAUUUAUUGGGGCGUAAAGCGAGCGCAGGCGGUUCCUUAAGUCUGAUGUGAAAGCCCACGGCUCAACCGUGGAAGGUCAUUGGAAACUGGGGAACUUGAGUGCAGAAGAGGAGAGUGGAAUUCCAUGUGUAGCGGUGAAAUGCGUAGAUAUAUGGAGGAACACCAGUGGCGAAGGCGACUCUCUGGUCUGUAACUGACGCUGAGGCUCGAAAGCGUGGGGAGCAAACAGGAUUAGAUACCU